ensembl:lncRNA
ACGUUAUAUAGUACAAUUUUAAUUGAAACAUUUUUCUAUUGUACAUGUAUACAUAUGUAAAUUUUUUUUAAGUUAUACAUUUGGUUUUAAAUAUGUUUUAUUUGGACACUUCUAAUUUUCUAUAUGUGGGUGGCUGUUUUUUGGCUUCAGUAUGUGCCCUCUGUAUGUGUAGAAACCGUGAGUUGUUUCCUCAUAUAAGUGAAAACAAGUCUAUUGGUAAUUAAAUUUAACAUUAUUAGAAAAAUUAGUAUACAACACAUAAUCAGUAUAAUCAGUACGAUUUUUUUUUGUUAAUAUUUACAUUUACAUUUGCGUAUAUGUACAAACUUAUAUACAUAUAUAUAUAUAUAUACAUACAUAUAUAUUUAUAUAUAUACAAACUUAUAUACAUAUAUAUAUACAUACAUAUAUAUUUAUAUAUAUACAUACAUAUAUAUUUAUAUAUAUACAUACAUAUAUAUUUAUAUAUAUAUACAUAUAUAUUUAUAUAUAUGUAUAUAUUUUGUUUUUUUUAGGUCAUUUAUAUCGUCUCCUAAACAUCCAUAAAUAUGAAUCUUUCAAUAUAAUUGUUCAACUUCAUUUUUUAAAUUUGAAGUUUAGCGACGACAGUGCGAGUAAAUAUAUGGUUCAUAUAAAAGUUGGAAACAGAUACUCUUAUACCCAAUAUUGCAAACAGUAUAUGAAUAAAGUACACAUAGAGGAAAGAAAGAAUUUAUCAAUUAAGCAAAAUAAUACCACGUUGACAUUAGAGCUUUACAAAAAAGGGACAUUAAAAAAUACUUUUGUCGGCUCUGCAGAAAUUCAUAUAUAUAAUGAUAUUAUUCAAAAAUUAUUUCCAAAUAAUGUUUAUUUUAAUAUAUUAAAUAAAAAUCAAAUUGUUGCGACAAUAUGUAUGUCUUUUUAUUAUAUUAAUUUAGAUUGUAUAAAAAAGGAAGACCAAAUAUAUACUUCUCUUUUUAUUGAAACUAUAAUAUCUGUUCAAAAUAAUGAAUUAAAAAAUAACGAAAAAAUAGAACAGCUUAUAAAUGAAGGCAUGGAACCUUUCCAGGCUAUUAAACAAAUGGACAUUAGUUCAAUUAUAUAUAAAAACAUAUCGAGUCUAGCCAUUGAAGACAAAAUUCGCCUUUUCAGUAAAAUUCUGAAUGGAUUUCUGCUACAUAGCAAUUUUUACAUUAAACGAUUUUAUAACAAAUAUUAUUUUUAUUUGCAUUUUUUCAAGGGGAAGUUUUAUUGGUGUUACUAUGAUGAACAAGAUGAUGCAAAGGUUGAUAACAACAGAAUAGGGUACAUAAGACUUGAAUAUGUAAUAAACGUAUACAGCGAUGUACAUAGUCAUAAAUACUUUUACAUAAAAUAUAAAAAAAAAGGAGAAAGAAAAGAAAAUUAUAUGUAUUUAAAGACAAUGGAUAGAGAUAGAAAUAUAUGGGUAAACAUUAUUCAUGAUUUUAUUAUAUUGAUAAGCAAUUAUAAAAAAGAAAAAAAAAAAAAAAAAAAAAUGAAGUAAAAGAACUUACAAAUGGUGAUAUAGAAAAAAAUAAAGGUCCAAAAGAAGGUUUAAAAGAAGGUUUA